GAAUAAAGCACACGGAUCCACUAUUUCUCAUUCAAAAGCCGUUGCGAACUCAACUUCCACGUAUAUAUAUAACCAGGCAUUAUUUACCUGAUUAGCCUUUUCGCAAUCUGAAACCCUAGCUCCCAAAUCCAUCUAUUCUCACCUUUUCUAAUUUGUUACUUUGAUUCGCAAUGGCUCGUAUGAAGUAGACCGCUUGUAAGUCCACCGGUGGAAAGGCUCAAAGGAAGCAACUCGCUACCAAGGCUGCUAGGAAAUCUGCUCCAACAACCGGAGGAGUGAAGAAGCCUCAUCGUUAUCGUUCUAGAACUGUCGCACUACGGUGAAUUGGCCAAACAUGCUGUUUCCGAGGGUACUAAGGCUGUUACCAAGUUUACUAGCGCUUAGAGGAGAUUGGUUUGUUGGGUUAGGUUUUGUUUGGUUUAUGUAACUGGAUUUUGGUAAUUUGAUGUAAAGCUAGUUAAUGUUAAUUUAUUAGUUUGAGAUGCCUUGAAGUUGGACUGGAAGAAGACAACAAGUAGAGAAAUAUGCUAUGACCGGAAAAUUGAAGAAAGUUUGUUUAUACACGUAAAUGAAAGGGAGACUAGAAUUGUUGUCAGAUAAUCCGCCACAAAAUGUUCUUUAAUGUUGAAAUUAGGUGUAUGGUUUUUGUGUAGUUUGGAUUUUAUUGUGUUAUUUGAAUAAGUUGGUAUUUUAAUUUUAUUGGUUUGUAUA